rnacentral:piRNA from 1 species
UAGGACAGCCUUGUUAUGAGAAGCAUGUU